UACGUAGGGGGCGAGCGUUUGUCCGGAUUCAUUGGGCGUAAAGAGCUCGUAGGCGGUUCGGUAAGUCAGGUGUGAAAUCUCCACGCUCAACGUGGAGGGGCCACCUGAUACUGCCGUGACUCGAGUCCGGUAGGGGAGUAUGGAAUUCACGGUGUAGCAGUGAAAUGCGUAGAUAUCGUGAGGAAGACCAGUGGCGAAGGCGGAUCUCUGGACAGUUCCUGACGCUGAGGCGCGAAGGCCAGGGGGAGCAAACGGG
rnacentral:rRNA from 1 species